GUAGGUGGCAAGCGUUGUCCGGGAAUUAUUGGGGCGUAAAGCGCGCGCAGGCGGUUCUUUAAGUCUGAUGUGAAAGCCCACGGGCUCAACCGUGGAGGGUCAUUGGAAACUGGAGAACUUGAGUACAGAAGAGGAAAGCGGAAUUCCACGUGUAGCGGUGAAAUGCGUAGAGAUGUGGAGGAACACCAGUGGCGAAGGCGGCUUUCUGGUCUGUAACUGACGCUGAGGCGCGAAAGCGUGGGGAGCAAACAGGAUUAGAUACCCUGGUAGUCCACGCCGUAAACGAUGAGUGCUAAGUGUUAGGGGGUUUCCGCCCUCUAGUGCUGCAGCUAACGCAUUAAGCACUCCGCCUGGGGAGUACGGCCGCAAGGCUG
rnacentral:rRNA from 1 species